UCACUAUUAAUUGUUCUUAUUAUUAAUCUUAGAUUAAUAAUUGUUCUUAUUAUUAAUCUUUAAUCUAAAGUUGCAGAGGAUGAAACAAUUACUCAUAAUUAUUGGCAGCAAGUGAAUGAGAAAGAAGAAGAACAUCAAUCAGAAGAAGAACUAUGUGCGCAAAAGCCUUACAGAAUCAAGCUAGUCGACGUGGUUUGUGAUGGCUAUCUUGUAGUUAUUAGAGGCAUUAGAAGAGCUAUUAUGACAAGAAGAGCAAUGAUGAUGAAUUCACAAUUGAAAUCUCAUAAAAGAUUUGUUAAUGCAUUUUCAAGAUAUUGCAAACUUGUUGAUAAUGCUAGAGUAUUUUGCACAAAUGGUGUUGGUGUUCCACUAAAGGUGGAAAACAAAUAUUGAUUUUAAAGGUAUUGCUAAGGUACUUAAUUUGUUUUCAAUGCAUAGCAGAAACUACAAGGCAUCCUGCUUCUGUAGCAUCAUUUGCUUCAAUUAUGUUUGCUUCUCAAGGAAAAUUGUCCUUGAAACAUCAAAAUACUUUUAUAGGCUAGAACAUUGUGCAUACCUUCUAGUAUAAAGAGACUUGCAGAAUUGUUGAAGUUGAGUCAUAAUCAUCUUGACCGUCCCUUGUCUGCUGAAUUUGGCAAUCUCAUAAGCAUACAAAUUAUGUAAGUCUUAUUGAUGUUUUCUGAUCUGGACGAUUGAAUUCUCAACGUCUUGUUAAGUUGUUUUUCCUUUGGGUUUAAUUGGUUCAUAAUGAUUUAUAUUUUCUCCAAUGAUAUGUCCUUCAACAACCUUUCGGGGAACAUUCCACCAUAUAUUGGACAGCUGCAGAACCUUGCGUCUCUGUAUGUCUAACUAUGAAGAGUUUUGUGCUUAAUGUUUUGUGUUUAUUCCUUGUCGGGUAACUUGUUUACUGAUUUUCCAUUACUUUAACCGAUGAUAUGAUUUUGAACAACAAUGACUUGCACGAGAAUAUUUUUUAUCACCUCUCCAAUUGUUUCAGUCUUUCUUCCAUGUGGCUAUUCUCGACAGGAAGCCUAUUGCUUUUCUGUUUUUUAUUCAAUUAAUAUUGCUUUGAGCCUCUAUGAACUAAAUCCAUGCUAAUGUCUUGUUCAUGUUUUAGAAACUUUUCUUAUAACAACUUCACUAGAGUAGUUCCAUCUAUGAAGAACUUCACACGAUUUUCAGCUGACAUGUAGUGCAGAGCAAACCUUUAUAUUUCAUGGUCAUGAACUUGAAUGUGUUGAUAACUUAUUUAACUUCACAAUUUGUAGCUUCUUUGGGAAUCCUUUGUUAUGUGGAAAUUGAGAAGGAUCUAUAUGUCAUCAUUAUCUUCCAAAAUCAAGAGAACUUUUUUCUAGAGUUGCAGUUGUAUGUCUUGCUCUUGGUCUCAUCAUGUUACUCACUAUGGUAAUUGUCGCUAUCUAUAGAACCACCAAUCCAAGCAGUUGAUUAAAGGAUCUAGCAAGACAGGGCAAGGUAUAAUGGAUGGUUGAAUUCUACUUGGAUAGUGGGAUUCUGCUUUUUUAUCAGGUGCCACAUUGAUGCGAUUGACUUGGAUCGUGUGGUUAAAAUUGGUGUCAUAUGCGCAUAUAAUAUGAUAUGAGAGCACUUACCUUUUCAAAUGAAAAGGUAGCAAAAGGUAGUGGUUAGUAUUUCGACAAAUAUAUUUAAUGAUGUUAUGCUAUACGUUAUGAUAUUUAGUAUUUGAACAAGGAAGUCCCGCAUGAUAUUUAGUAUUAGGAAAAUAUUGUUUUAUCUCCUAAUUGUUAUAAUAAAGUUCAUUCUGCUUCUCUCUUCAAUCGUCUGUUAUUGCUGCAUGGUGACAUGAUGCUAUAAUCUGUCCAAAUUAGUGACCGAUAAAAGUUAUUAUUUUUCCCUUAUUCAAUUAUGUUACCUUUGGUAUUGGGAGAAACAGUGGCCAAUCCUUUGAACGUGGAGUACCCUUCCAGUGUGAACUUCAUGAGUUUGACGUACUUCGUGAUUGCUCCUACAUUAUGCUACUAGGUAUCAUAAAUUAACUUAAAAAUAUUGAUGUAUGUAUAAUUAUUUGGUUAUUGUUGCCUCAUUAUUUAUUCACCUCUUCUACUAACAUCUGCAAGCAUUUAAUUUUUAUGAUUGAAGCACAUACAAGGGCAUUGUUCAACUAGAGUAUUUUGAGGUUUUUAGUUAAAGAGAGGUCACAUCUUUGAAGUCAUCUUUUUGUCAGUUGGUCUUUUCUAUGUGUAGCCUCCACAACUUGUCUCUGAUCCUUAAAUCAAUUUGUCACAGUGUCUAUUAUCUCCUCUUCAUGGCCAUCUACUUAGCUUUAGUCCAUGUUAGCUUAUGUCACUAAUAGUAUAUAUAUAUUACUAUCGUUUAUAUAUACUCACACUUGUGAUUUAUUUGUGUUGUCAUGUUAAGUAUAAUGUAUUGUCAACAUAGUUGAUGCCAUCAUGUGACUCCUUGGGACAUGUUCAAUUCGAUUAUGUCUAUAAAUACAUCAGUAU